CCUACGGGUGGCAGCAGUGAGGAAUAUUGGUCAAUGGCCGAGAGGCUGAACCAGCCAAGUCGCGUGAGGGAAGACGGCCCUACGGGUUGUAAACCUCUUUUGUCGGGGAGCAAAGCGAACCACGUGUGGUUCAUUGAGAGUACCCGAAGAAAAAGCAUCGGCUAACUCCAUGCCAGCAGCCGCGGUAAUACGGAGGCUGCGUGCGGUAUCCGGCUUUAUUGGGUUUAAAGGGUGCGCAGGCGGAGGUGCAAGUCCGCGGUCAAAUUGCGGGGCGCAACCCCGUACGGCCGUUGAAACUGCAUCCCUUGAGUGAGCGAGAAGUAUGCGGGAUGCGUGGUGUAGCGGUGAAAUGCAUAGAUAUCACGCAGAACUCCGAUUGCGAAGGCAUCAUACCGGCGCGCAACUGACGCUCAUGCACGAAAGCGUGGGUAUCGAACAGGAUUAGAUACCCCUGUAGUC
rnacentral:rRNA from 1 species